rnacentral:tRNA from 1 species
AAAUUAAAGCUUAAAAAGCAUUUUAUUUACAUUAAAAAGUUUGUUAUUAAAUUAAUAUAAUUUGAA